UUGCCCCUAACAAAAGUUUGGUC
rnacentral:siRNA from 1 species